GGUGAUGACCUAUGAAUUGACAGCCAGUGUUUGGAAAACGUCUGCCUGUCAGUUCUGUAGGCCACUGCCGUGU
rnacentral:miRNA from 1 species